rnacentral:rRNA from 1 species
AAAGCAUUCUCUGGUGUUGAAGGCCCUGCAAAGCAGCAUCGCGGUGGCGGAGCGUCGUUUGCGACGCCCAACACACAAAACAAGCGGUGAAUGCUUUGGGGUGGGGUGACUGCGUACCUUUUGUAUAAUGGGUCAGCGACUUAUAUUCUGUAGCAAGGUUAACCGAAUAGGGGAGCCGGAGGGAAACCGAGUCUUAAUUGGGCGUUAAGUUGCAGGGUAUAGACCCGAAACCCGGUGAUCUAGCCAUGGGCAGGUUGAAGGUUGGGUAACACUAACUGGAGGACCGAACCGACUAAUGUUGAAAAAUUAGCGGAUGACCUGUGGCUGGGGGUGAAAGGCCAAUCAAACCGAGAGAUAGCUGGUUCUCCCCGAAAGCUAUUUAGGUAGCGCCUCGUGAAUUCAUCUCCGGGGGUAGAGCACUGUUUCGGCUAGGGGGCCAUCCCGGCUUACCAACCCGAUGCAAACUGCGAAUACCGGAGAAUGUUAUCACGGGAGACACACGGCGGGUGCUAACGUCCGUCGUGAAGAGGGAAACAACCCAGACCGCCAGCUAAGGUCCCAAAGUCAUGGUUAAGUGGGAAACGAUGUGGGAAGGCCCAGACAGCCAGGAUGUUGGCUUAGAAGCAGCCAUCAUUUAAAGAAAGCGUAAUAGCUCACUGGUCGAGUCGGCCUGCGCGGAAGAUGUAACGGGGCUAAACCAUGCACCGAAGCUGCGGCAGCGACGCUGAUGCGUUGUUGGGUAGGGGAGCGUUCUGUAAGCCUGCGAAGGUGACCUGUGAGGGUUGCUGGAGGUAUCAGAAGUGCGAAUGCUGACAUAAGUAACGAUAAAGCGGGUGAAAAGCCCGCUCGCCGGAAGACCAAGGGUUCCUGUCCAACGUUAAUCGGGGCAGGGUGAGUCGACCCCUAAGGCGAGGCCGAAAGGCGUAGUCGAUGGGAAACGGGUUAAUAUUCCCGUACUUGGUGUUACUGCGAAGGGGGGACGGAGAAGGCUAUGUUGGCCGGGCGACGGUUGUCCCGGUUUAAGCGUGUAGGUGUGUGUUCCAGGUAAAUCCGGUUCACUUUAACACUGAGGCGUGAUGACGAGGCACUACGGUGCUGAAGCAACAAAUGCCCUGCUUCCAGGAAAAGCCUCUAAGCAUCAGGUAACAUCAAAUCGUACCCCAAACCGACACAGGUGGUCAGGUAGAGAAUACCAAGGCGCUUGAGAGAACUCGGGUGAAGGAACUAGGCAAAAUGGUGCCGUAACUUCGGGAGAAGGCACGCUGACACGUAGGUGAAGUGAUUUACUCA